GAUGAACGCUGGCGGCGUGCCUAAUACAUGCAAGUCGAGCGAACAGACGCGGAGCUUGCUCCUUUGACGAUAGCGGCGGACGGGUGAGUAACACGUAGGUAACCUACCUAUAAGACUGGGAUAACUUCGAGAAACCGGAGCUAAUACCGGAUAAUAUUUCGAACCGCAUGGUUCGAUAGUGAAAGAUGGCUUUGCUAUCACUUAUAGAUGGACCUGCGCCGUAUUAGCUAGUUGGUAAGGUCACGGCUUACCACGGCAACGAUACGUAGCCGAACUGGGAGAGUGAUAGGCCACACGGGAACUGAGACACGGUCCAGACGCCUACGGGAGGGAGCAGUAGGGAAUCGGCCGCAAUGGUCGAGAGCAUGACGGAGCAGGGCAGAGUGUGUGAUGAAGGUCCUCGGAUCGUAAAACUCGGUUAUUAGGGAAGAACAAACGUGUACGGAACUGUGCACGUCUUGACGGUACCUAAUCAGAAAGCAACGGCUAACUACGUG
rnacentral:rRNA from 1 species